rnacentral:lncRNA from 1 species
UGGAGGUGCGUAUUACAUCAUUACUAUGUGUAUAUUAAAAAAACUUGCAGUAUACAUCAGAAAGUUGAUAAAUAUGUAUCAUUAUAUCACAUAAAUAUUGAUGAAUAUAAUAUUUUAAAAAAUAUGUAUCAAUUUGUUUGGAGAUAUAUAUUGAGUUAUUAAAUAACUAAUUCACUAAAUAUUUAUCACCUUAUUGUGUACUAUGUAUUGGUAAAGUUCAUAUUCUGAAAAUUAUUUAUCCAUAUAUAUUGGAUUAUUGCUAGAUAUAUAUCGAAGAACCUUGCAGAAUGUAUCCAAAAAUCGAUGAAUAUUUAUCACUAUACCAUAUAGCAUGUAUUGGUGAAUAUAGUAUUCUAAAAAUUAUGUAUCAAUUUGAAGAUGUAUAUCGAUUGCUAGAUUACUGAUUUGCGAAGUAUCUAUUAUUUGGUAGUGUACUAUAUAUUGAUAACUCGAUAUUCUAAAGACUAAAUCUUGAUUUUUUCGAUGAUUAAUUUACUUGAUGUAUGUCACUUAACCAUAUAGUACAUAUCAACAAAAAAUAUAUUAUGAAAAUGAGGAUGAGAGAGAAUAUUAUAUUUUUUAUUUUUAAUUAUAAAAUGAAUGACUCCAUUAAUAGAAAGAGUCUUUGACUUUUAGAUUUCUUCUUUAAAAUUAGUAUUAAAAAAAAUAUGAUAAAAUAUGAAGGCCCCCCACCCCAUAUGAUAUUCUAUGGUGCCGGCUCACCUCAUAUGAUUUUUGUUCGAUAGAUUUGUGUUUCACAUCUAAUUCAUUAUUAUGUUUGACAAAUCACUUUCAACAUAGAUAUGCUGAUUCCCAUGAGUUUUGGACCCACAAUAAAAAAAAAAAAAGGAAAAAAACAAACUCAAAACCAGGUUAAGAUAUCAUUUUCCCUAAUCCCAGAUAUAACAAAAAACAAGAUUUGUAUAUGAUAUGUUAAUAGUAUUAAUUAAUUAUUAAAAUAAAUUACAAUAAUUUAUUAUC